UUGGAAUACAGCGUCAUAGAGGGUGAGAACCCCGUUCAUGACACAUCUCCCGGUGCUUUGUGAUACAUUUUCGAUGAGUCGAGUUGUUUGGGAAUGCAGCUCAAAAUGGGUGGUAAAUUCCAUCUAAAGCUAAAUAUUGGCGAGAGACCGAUAGCAAACAAGUACCGUGAGGGAAAGAUGAAAAGCACUUUGGAAAGAGAGUUAAAAGUACGUGAAAUUGUUGAAAGGGAAACGCUUGAAGUCAGACGUGCGCAGUGCGAUUCAGCUCUAUUUCGGUAGAGUGUAUUUCGUGCUAUUGCAGGCCAGCAUCGGUUUUGCGAGCCGGAUAAAGGUUAGUAGAAGGUAGCAUCUUCGGAUGUGUUAUAGCUUCUAACUGAAUACGGAUUGCGAGACCGAGGGACGCAGCACGGCGCAAGCCAGAAGAUUCGUCUUCUUCGUGCUUAGGAUGCUGGUGAAAUGGCUUUAAACGACCCGUC
rnacentral:rRNA from 1 species